rnacentral:lncRNA from 1 species
CGACGACCGUACCCACGCCCGUAUAAAAAGCCUCCGGGAGGGCUGCGGUGGGCACGAGGAGAAUGGGUUGGUGCGUGUGCGUUGCGCGGGUUGUUCAAACGUGGAGUGACUGUAAGCCAUCCAUUCACGUGUCGACGCAGCGAGGAGGCGGUGGCUCAAUGAAUUUUAACGUCUGAGAAGUACAUGGACUGUAUGUGAAGGCAGGGAACCUGCUCUGCUGCUGUCAUCAUCGACCUCUGAUAUCACUUGGAGCAAGACAACCAACGAUAGCAGUGAUCUGACUCUGGAGUGGUAAGAAAGGUAUGCUUGCCUCACAGACCUAAGGCUGUGUUCAGACUUAAGAAUCUUCCUUUUCAUUUCUUCUUGGCCUUCCUUUUAAUGUCAUCUGAACAUAUGUCUAUCCUCAUCUGCUUGUAACUUCACCAGUUCAUCUCAAGUGGUACAUUGUAUGAAGCGCCAUGAAUCUAUGCAUUACGUUUGAUGUUCUUUAGAGGUACAAUAAGUAUGUAACUUUGACCUUUCUCCAAGUGUAGCCUGUUUGACCAAAACUAAUAAUUUCUACAGUGAGUUUUGUAC